rnacentral:rRNA from 1 species
UACGUAGGGUGCGAGCGUUAAUCGGAAUUACUGGGCGUAAAGCGUGCGCAGGCGGUUUUGUAAGCCUGGUGUGAAAGCCCCGGGCUUAACCUGGGAAUGGCAUUUGGGACUGCAAGGCUUGAGUGCGGCAGAGGAGACUGGAAUUCCCGGUGUAGCAGUGAAAUGCGUAGAUAUCGGGAGGAAUACCGAUGGCGAAGGCAGGUCUCUGGGCUGACACUGACGCUCAUGCACGAAAGCGUGGGGAGCAAACAGG